rfam:Mycobacterium fallax strain DSM 44179 contig_78, whole genome shotgun sequence.
CAUGAUCGGACCUUCGGAUAUUCAGAUCAUCCUCGGGAAGGUGCGCCCACUUUCACGCCCCCUCACCGAGGCU